CAAACACUGCCUUCUAGGCAGGUCAUUGCAGGAACCGCAAACAGGUGACGCUGGGGAGCUGAAAGUUCGCGGGAUCACGUCAGCUUUGAUUGGGGUGUUCAGUUUCCAAGCUGGCAACGCCAUUCUGUCGGUCGGCUUCUGGGGACUGCUCUCCCCUUCUGGAUCAGGCCUUGUCUUCCUGUUCAGUGCUUUAUGUGGAGCUGAUUCAAGCAGAGGACAGAAAACAACAGGAAUGUCAUCCCACAGCCAACUAUGACAUCAUGGCCUAGAAACGUGUCCCAUCUCUACUCACCAUCAGAGACACCCCCCCACCAACCCUGCUUCCUUUCAACUCCCACCCGUGCAACUCCCCCCGCC